rnacentral:rRNA from 1 species
AUGAAUUAAACAUCUAAGGGUGUAUGGUGGAUGCCUUGGCAGUUUAAGCCUAAGAAGGACGCAGCAGCUGGCGAUACGCUUCGGAGAGGUAGCAAGCAACCUUUGACCCGGAGAUUUCCGAAUGGGGCAACCUAUCCCGUUGAAGACGGGAUGAUCCGAUAACGUGGUGUUAUCGUGAUCGGGAACCGCGUGAAGUGAAACAUCUCAGUAACGCGAGGAAAAGAAAAAAAGGGCAUACUUCGUUUGAAUUUCUAAUUAAAUUAGACAUUCAAGCGGGGUAUUGCUUUAUUCUCCUAGUAGUGGCGAGCGAACGGGGAAGUAAGUCCAAACUAACUUUGUGUAUUUGAGUUUUGUCGUUCCGCCGCAAGGCGGGAUUGAUAAUCUUAAGUUAAAGCUUACAGGCGUUGCAAGGAUUAGGGUUACAACAAUCAUCAGUUAGAUCGCUGUAACGAUCUAGAAGAAUUAAUUUGAGCUGUUUAGCCGAAAUGGCCUGGAACGGCCUACCAAAGAAGGUGAUAGUCCUGUAGUGCGAAAAACCUCUUAUAUCUUCUUGAUGGUUUGUUAAGUACAACUAGACACGUGAAAUCUAGUUGGAAUUCGUGUCGACUACGACAUAAGACUAAAUACUUAAACUGACCGAUAGUGAACUAGUACCGUGAGGGAAAGGUGAAAAGCAGCCCGGUGAGGGCGAUGAAAUAGUACCUGAAACCAUACACUUACAAUCGAGUGGGAGCCCCACACUUUCUGCCCAGGAAUUUUCGUGAGUAGAAAGUGUGGGGUGACCGCGUGCCUAUUGAAGAAUGACCCAACGAGUUAGUGUACAUUGCUUAACUUAAGGAAGACAACUUCCGGAGGUAUAGUGAAAGCGAGCGUUAAUAGCGCGUAUUAAGAUAAAUUUUGAAUUAAGAAUUUCAAAUUUUGAAUGAAAUUUAGAAUAUUCAAAUAUUCGAAAUUGAAUCGAAAUUAAAAAUUCAAAAUUCGAAGUUUUGUCUUAAAGGUAGUGUGCACUAAACCCGAAACCCGGUGAGCUACCCUUGGUCAGGAUGAAUCCCGCAGAAAUGCGGGAGGAGGUCCGAACGCUAGUAUGUUGCAAAAUACCGCGAUGAACUGAGGGUAGGGGAGAAAU